rnacentral:tRNA from 1 species
GAGAAGUUGGCUCAGUGGUAGAGUGCUUGCCUUGCAUGCAUGAGGUACUGGGUUCGAUUCCUCA